UUUUUUAAUUGAAAACUUGUAAGAAUGGUUGAAUGAAAUAUUAACUGUUUCAUAAAAAUUUAUAUAGAAAUUUAUUUUUAAGUUAAAAAGCUUAAAUUUAUUUAAAGGACGAGAAGACCCUAUAAAGUUUUAUAAUUUAAUAUAUUAAAUUUAAUAAGAAUAUUUAAAAUUUUUUAAUUUAAAUUAUUUUAUUGGGGUGAUAAUAAAAUUUAAUAAACUUUUAUUAUUUAUAAACAUUGAUUUUUGAUUUAAUGAUCCAAUUUUAUUGAUUAAAAAUUUAAAUUACUUUAGGGAUAACAGCGUUAUUUUUUUUUUAAGUUCUUAUUUAUAAAAAAGAUUGC
rnacentral:rRNA from 1 species